rnacentral:tRNA from 1 species
GGCCGGGUGGCAGAGUGGUGAUGCAGAGGACUGCAAAUCCUUGAAUACCGGUUCGAUUCCGGUCCCGGCCUCCA